GCGUUUGUAUUCCAACGGUUAGGAUAAUUGCCUUCCAAGCAAUAGACCUAGGUUCGACUCCCGGCAAACGCA
rfam:Ipomoea nil DNA, scaffold: scaffold1734, cultivar: Tokyo-kokei standard.